rnacentral:lncRNA from 1 species
UUUUUUUUACUUGAGGAGGAGGAAGGCAUAAAUGACACCAAAUUCUGUAAUGGAAAGAAAAAAAUAGUGUGUAUCGGAAACUGCUGCUGAGUGACUCAUGCUGCCGGACAAACGGAACCUCACUCAUCACUCCAUCUUCAUCCUCCUCCUCUGGUGAGAGAAAAAGUCUUGGAAAAAUAUCAGCACCCCCCCGCCCUGCUUCUUCUCCUGUGGCAUCUGUACACAGGGAAGCGGUCCAAGCCACAGCAAUGGCUUCAUGUGCUUCUUGGGGCAGGCUUUUUUUUUGCUGUGUUUUAAUGGCCAACUAGGAAAAGCCUCCGAGGUGACCUUGGAAAAAUGUAUGCACCAAAGGAAAAAGUCUGGGGGGGGAGCAUUGGAGUUCGUGUGUGCUGUAUGUUUGGAGGGGUUUUUUUUUUUUUCCUAAUAGUGUUUUUCCAAAUUUCCACUGAAAUAAAUUUGCAAGUUAUAAUUAUUUUUUUUUACGAGUGGGAAGAGAGGAAAGGAUGCGCCGUGCGAAAGGCAGAAGGAGCUGGGCACAGCUCCGACUUAAAUAAAUGCUGCGUCAUAAGAGUGUAAAGGGUAGCGCAGGGGGAAGGGUGGGACGCACAAAAUCGCUCUGUUUCUCCUCUCUUCAGGAGAGUAAUCAGCAUUUUUAUGAAACUUAUAAGCAGUAUACGAAUUAAAUAGAUGUUUUUAUUACUACAAAAUUGGGGGGAGUCUUUUUUUUCUUUUUUUUUUUUUCCCCAAAAAAACAUCUUUUGCAAACUUUUGGCACUGUCUACCAGAAGGCCGCUUAAAAUGCAUUUUUUUGACUGCCAGCUGCAUCCAGCCCAGCUGCGGGCACAGGGAGGUGUUCUCCAGCACAGCCCCUGCCCAGCAAAUGCCUUUUCAGUUGUAGGGGGGCUGGGCUGAGCAGGUAGAUGCAAUGGCUGUGUUCCUCCAAGCUACAAAGCUCGCUCAAGGAGAUGCUGUGUCUUGUUUGUUGUUCACAAACAGAUGAAGCUGUUGUCAUCCCAUGACGCCUCUUUCAGUGCAACUACUUUGCCUCCAUGUCUUCCCACUGCUGUUGAAAUGUCAGAUGGUAAAAACAACCAAGAGUUCCAGAUGGGGCAAUCGGAAGAGAAACAUGCUGAAGAUGAUAAUGAGAAAGUUCUGGAUUCUCUCAACUGGGAGUCCCAUGUCCUCACCUGUGGCUUCCAAACACAAUCACUGUUCAAGUCUUGUGCAAAGCAGCAUGCCAUGAGGAAGUUCUUCAUUAUCAGGGUAAGCAAAGCCUGCAAGAGUUUAUUUUCCCUGUUCACUAGUCCAUGUAUGCUGGGAAUUGUUUGGGA